GUUCGUUUGUCCGUUUGUCCAGCUUCAGGUUAAAAUUCUUGAUCGAGGAAGUUUUUGAUAACGUUGAAGUCAACUUGAAACUUAGUACACAUUUUCCGUAUGAUAUGAUCUUUCUAAUUCUAAUGCCAAAUUACAGUUUUAUCCCAUUUUUACGGUCCACUGAACAUAUAAAAUGAUAGUGUAGAUGAGGCAUCCGUGUACUAG
rnacentral:lncRNA from 1 species